rnacentral:rRNA from 1 species
UCCUAUAACAAUCGGCUUGAGGGACUCUCUUCACGGGAAGUCAUGCCUGGGCAAGGGUAGUACUAGGAUGGGUGACCCCCAAGGAAGUCCUUGUGUUGCAUCGU